UUGAACGCUGGCGGCAGGCCUAACACCUGCAAGUCGAGCGGAUGAAGGGAGCUUGCUCCUGGAUUCAGCGGCGGACGGGUGAGUAAUGCCUAGGAAUCUGCCUGGUAGUGGGGGAUAACGUCCGGAAACGGGCGCUAAUACCGCAUACGUCCUGAGGGAGAAAGUGGGGGAUCUUCGGACCUCACGCUAUCAGAUGAGCCUAGGUCGGAUUAGCUAGUUGGUGGGGUAAAGGCCUACCAAGGCGACGAUCCGUAACUGGUCUGAGAGGAUGAUCAGUCACACUGGAACUGAGACACGGUCCAGACUCCUACGGGAGGCAGCAGUGGGGAAUAUUGGACAAUGGGCGAAAGCCUGAUCCAGCCAUGCCGCGUGUGAAGAAGGUCUUCGGAUUGUAAAGCACUUUAAGUUGGGAGGAAGGGCAGUAAGUUAAUACCUUGCUGUUUUGACGUUACCAACAGAAUAAGCACCGGCUAACUUCGUG
rnacentral:rRNA from 1 species